AUUGAACGCUGGCGGCAUGCCUUACACAUGCAAGUCGAACGGCAGCACGGGUGCUUGCACCUGGUGGCGAGUGGCGAACGGGUGAGUAAUACAUCGGAACGUACCUUAUCGUGGGGGAUAACGCAGCGAAAGCUGUGCUAAUACCGCAUACGCCCUGAGGGGGAAAGCGGGGGAUCGCAAGACCUCGCGCGAUUAGAGCGGCCGAUGCCUGAUUAGCUUGUUGGUGGGGUAAAAGCCCACCAAGGCGACGAUCAGUGGCUGGUCUGAGAGGACGAUCAGCCACACUGGGACUGAGACACGGCCCAGACUCCUACGGGAGGCAGCAGUGGGGAAUUUUGGACAGUGGGGGCAACCCUGAUCCAGCAAUGCCGCGUGAGUGAAGAAGGCCUUCGGGUUGUAAAGCUCUUUUGUCAGGGAAGAAACACCGGCUCUAACACAGUCCGGGAAUGACGGUACCUGAAGAAUAAGCACCGGCUAACUACGUGCCAGCCGCCGCUGUAA
rnacentral:rRNA from 1 species